UACGUAGGCAGCAAGCGUUGUUCGGAAUUACUGGGCGUAAAGCGUGCGUAGGCGGUGCCUCAAGUUUGGUGUGAAAUCUCCCGGCUCAACCGGGAGGGUGCGCCGAAAACUGAGGUGCUCGAGUGUGGGAGAGGUAGGCGGAAUUCCUGGUGUAGCGGUGAAAUGCGUAGAUAUAGGAAGGAACACCAGUGGCGAAGGCGACUACCUGGACUGAUACUGACACUGAGGUGCGAAAGCGUGGGGAGCAAACAGG
rnacentral:rRNA from 1 species